CACCAAGCCUGCGAGCCCUGGCCACGAUGUGGGCUCUGCAAGGGGCUACGGACAGGCAGGGGGAGAGCCCGGGUUUGCGCACACCUUCCAGCCCCUGGAGGGAGCCUGCUCGGCUUCGAACGCCUUCGAACUUUUGACCUUCAAAGGAGUCCCUGGAAAAGCAGGCUCAUGAUCCAGGGCCAGUGGCGAGAGCAGUGACACCGAGAACCCAAAUCUCCGCGCCCGCAUCCGCGGCCCGGUGUCCUCCCGGCCCCUGCUGACCUCCAGAUCACGCACCCCACUGCUCCACGGCUCUGCAGCCUGUGGCACACGGCCGAGAGUCCCCACAUGAUCUCGACGCCAAGCGACCUUGGCCCUUAAUCGCCCAACGCCGAUUCCUCAAAAUUCCGGCUGCGCUGAAUCGGGCUGCUUUUGCCGCCGCCCCGGCAGUUGGGUCCUGUUUCCGCCGGCGCCCUGGGAGAGGCCUCACCACUCGGCUGGGCUCCCUGGCCCCUCCCUUCCCCUGGCCUGAGCGCCCCUGCGGCCUCCCGCUCCUCCUGAGAAGGCGACAAUCUCUUUGCACCUUAGUGUUUCGAGGACAGAAAGGGCAGAAGGGUCACUUCGGAGCCACUCACGCCGUUUUCAUGUGCGUGUGUAAUGGGGGGAGGGGAGCUCCCGGCUUUCCCCUUUUCAGCUCUUGGACCUGCAACACCGGGAGGGCGAGGACGCGGGACCAGCGCACCCUCGGAAGGCUCGAUCCUCCCCGGCAGGGCGCCUGGCCAACGAGUCGCGCCGCCUCCUCUCGGCCGC
rnacentral:lncRNA from 1 species